CAAGUGACCCCGGUUUACCACCGGGAUGUUCAUAACCCUUUGUUGUCCGACUCUGUUGCCUCCGGGGCGACCCUGCCUUCGGGCGGGGGCUCCGGGUGGACACUUCAAACUCUUGCGUAACUUUGCAGUCUGAGUAAACUUAUAAUAAUU
rnacentral:misc_RNA from 1 species